rnacentral:rRNA from 1 species
AUGGCGCCGACUCACAGCUCGCGCCGCCUCGACGGCACACUGCUCGUGCUCGUGGCCGCCACUGCCUUUGUCAGCGCUGCCGCGGCGCGAGGGGAGGCGCUGGCCGCCCGGCACGAGCGGUGGAUGGCCAAGUACGGGCGCGUGUACACGGACGCCGCAGAGAAAUUGCGCCGGCAGGAGGUGUUCGCGGCCAACGCGCGGCACAUAGACGCUGUCAACCGGGCGGGCAACCGGACGUACACGCUCGGGCUCAACCAGUUCUCCGACCUCACCGACCAAGAGUUCGCGGAGACGCACCUCGGGUACCGUCACCAGCGCGGCGGGCUCCGUCCUGAGGACAACACGCCGAUGGCCGCGGUGAACAUGUCCAAGGCUCAGUCCCAGUCCACGCCGGACAGCGUUGACUGGAGAGCCCAGGGUGCCGUCACCCAAGUCAAGUACCAAGGCGCCAACUGCGGGAGUUGCUGGGCGUUCGCGGCGGUGGCGGCGACCGAGGGGCUCGUAAAGAUCGCCACUGGCAAUCUCAUCUCCAUGUCAGAGCAGCAGGUCCUCGACUGCACCGGCGGCACCAACUCCUGCAACGGCGGCCGUGUCAACGAAGCUCUAAGCUACAUCGCCGCGAGCGGCGGCCUGCAGCCGGAGGCAGUCUACGCGUAUAGCGCCCAGCAGGGCGUGUGCCGCAGCAGCGGCGUCAGCCCAAACUCGGCCGCCUCCGUCGGCGCCCCCCGGUUGGAGGGCCUGUACGGCCAUGAGGGCAAGUUGCAGGAGCUCGUGGCCAACCAGCCGGUCGCCGUGAGCGUGGAGGCCACGGAGUUUAACUUCCGGCACUACAUGAGCGGCGUGUACGCCGGCAGCUCGUCGUGCGGGCAGAACCUGAACCACGCUGUGACCGUGGUGGGGUACGGGGUGGACGGCGGCGGGCAGGAGUACUGGUUGGUGAAGAACCAGUGGGGGACGGGGUGGGGCGAGGGGGGCUACAUGCGCCUCACGCGCGGGAACGGCGGCAACUGCGGCAUGGCCACCUACGCCUACUACCCCACCAUAGACAGCUCUUAA